rnacentral:rRNA from 1 species
UACGUAGGGCGCAAGCGUAUCCGGAAUUAUUGGGCGAAAGAGCUCGUAGGCGGUUUGUCGCGUCUGCCGUGAAAGUCCGGGGCUCAACUCCGGAUCUGCGGUGGGUACGGGCAGACUAGAGUGAUGUAGGGGAGACUGGAAUUCCUGGUGUAGCGGUGGAAUGCGCAGAUAUCAGGAGGAACACCGGUGGCGAAGGCGGAUCUCUGGGCCUUACCUGACGCUGAGGAGCGAAAGCGUGGGUAGCAAACAGG